UACGUAGGGUGCAAGCGUUAAUCGGAAUUACUGGGCGUAAAGCGUGCGCAGGCGGUUUUGUAAGUCUGACGUGAAAUCCCCGGGCUCAACCUGGGAAUUGCGUUGGAGACUGCAAGGCUAGAAUCUGGCAGAGGGGGGGUAGAAUUCCACGUGUAGCAGUGAAAUGCGUAGAUAUGUGGAGGAACACCGAUGGCGAAGGCAGCCCCCUGGGUCAAGAUUGACGCUCAUGCACGAAAGGCGUG
rnacentral:rRNA from 1 species